UAGGGAAUCUUCCACAAUGGACGAAAGUCUGAUGGAGCAACGCCGCGUGAGUGAUGAAGGGUUUCGGCUCGUAAAACUCUGUUGUUGGAGAAGAACAGGUGAUAGAGUAACUGUUAUCAUCUUGACGGUAUCCAACCAGAAAGCCACGGCUAACUACGUGCCAGCAGCCGCGGUAAUACGUAGGUGGCAAGCGUUGUCCGGAUUUAUUGGGCGUAAAGCGAGCGCAGGCGGUUUUUUAGGUCUGAUGUGAAAGCCUUCGGCUUAACCGGAGAAGGGCAUCGGAAACCGGGAGACUUGAGUGCAGAAGAGGACAGUGGAACUCCAUGUGUAGCGGUGAAAUGCGUAGAUAUAUGGAAGAACACCAGUGGCGAAGGCGGCUGUCUGGUCUGUAACUGACGCUGAGGCUCGAAAGCAUGGGUAGCGAACAGGAUUAGAUACCCUGGUAGUCCAUGCCGUAAACGAUGAGUGCUAAGUGUUGGAGGGUUUUCCGC
rnacentral:rRNA from 1 species